rnacentral:rRNA from 1 species
GACGAACGCUGGCGGCGUGCUUAACACAUGCAAGUCGAACGGAAAGGCCCUGCUUUUGUGGGGUGCUCGAGUGGCGAACGGGUGAGUAACACGUGAGUAACCUGCCCUUGACUUUGGGAUAACUUCAGGAAACUGGGGCUAAUACCGGAUAGGAGCUCCUGCUGCAUGGUGGGGGUGGGAAAGUUUCGGCGGUUGGGGAUGGACUCGCGGCUUAUCAGCUUGUUGGUGGGGUAGUGGCUUACCAAGGCUUUGACGGGUAGCCGGCCUGAGAGGGUGACCGGCCACAUUGGGACUGAGAUACGGCCCAGACUCCUACGGGCGGCAGCAGUGGAGAAUAUUGCACAAUGGGCGGAAGCCUGAUGCAGCAACGCCGCGUGCGGGAUGACGGCCUUCGGGUUGUAAACCGCUUUCGCCUGUGACGAAGCGUGAGUGACGGUAAUGGGUAAAGAAGCACCGGCUAACUACGUG